rnacentral:rRNA from 1 species
UUACGGCUCAGUAACACGUAGAUAAUCUGCCCUAUGGUGAGAAUAACGUCGGGAAACUGACACUAAUACUCAAUAUGAGAUGGUUUCUGGAAUGAGCUAUCUCUGAAGCAUAGGAUGAGUCUGCGGCUGAUUAGGCUGUUGGCGGGGUAAUGGCCCACCAAACCUUUGAUCAGUAAGGGCCCUUAGCGGGGAAACCCUGAGAACGAGUCUGAGACACUACUCGUAGCCCUACGGGGUGCAGCAGUUAGGGAUUUUUUGCAAUGCGCGUGAGCGUGACAGAGCGAGCCAGAGUGAUUUUCCAUACUGGAAAAUCUUUUGCCAGCUGUAAAAAGGCUGGCGAAUAAGGACUGGGCAAGACCGGUGCCAGCCGCCGCGGUAAUCCCGGCGGUCCGAGUCGCAACCACAAUUAUUGGGUCUAAAACAUCCGUAGCUUGUUCUGUAAGUCUGUUGUGAAAUUCUGUCUCUUAAGGGCAGAGAUUGCAAUGGAUACUGCAGGGCUUGAGACUGGGGGACGCGAUGAGUACAUUCGAGGUAGUGGUAAAAUACGUUAAUCUCGAGUGGACUAACACCAGCGAAGGCACGUCGCGAUAACAGUUCUGACAGUGAGGGAUGAAGGCUAGGGGCGCAAAUUGGAUUAGAUACCCAAGUAGUCCUAGCAGUAAACACUGCGCACUAAACCUUGUGA